CCUACGGGAGGCAGCAGUGAGGAAUAUUGGUCAAUGGUCGGAAGCCUGAACCAGCCAAGUAGCGUGCGGGAUGAAGGCCCUACGGGUUGUAAACUGCUUUUGCACGGGGAUAACAUCCUCCACGUGUGGAGGUCUGUAGGUACCGCGCGAAUAAGGGCCGGCUAAUUCCGUGCCAGCAGCCGCGGUAAUACGGAAGGCCCGGGCGUUAUCCGGAUUUAUUGGGUUUAAAGGGGGCGUAGGCGGAAUGUCAAGUCAGCGGUAAAAUCGCGGGGCUCAACCUCGAACCGCCGUUGAAACUGGCGUUCUUGAGUGGGCGAGAAGUAUGCGGAAUGCGUGGUGUAGCGGUGAAAUGCAUAGAUAUCACGCAGAACUCCGAUUGCGAAGGCAGCAUACCGGCGCCCUACUGACGCUGAAGCACGAAAGCGUGGGUAUCGAACAGGAUUAGAUACCCUAGUAGUC
rnacentral:rRNA from 1 species